rnacentral:rRNA from 1 species
GGGCGCUGUCUCAACGAGGGACUCGGCGAAAUUGUAUUUCCGGUGAAGAUGCCGGAUACCCGCGGCAAGACGGAAAGACCCCGUGAACCUUUACUACAGUCUGGCAUUGGGUUUUGGCUGGGCAUGUGUAGGAUAGGUGGGAGGCUGUGAAGCCCCGACGCCAGUCGGGGUGGAGCCGUCCUUGAAAUACCACCCUUGUUCAGUUGAGGCUCUAACCUGGAUCCUUGAAUCAGGGUCAGGGACAGUGCUUGAUGGGUAGUUUGACUGGGGCGGUCGCCUCCUAAAAAGUAACGGAGGCUCCCAAAGGUUCCCUCAGCACGGUUGGUAAUCGUGCGUAGAGUGCAAAGGCAUAAGGGAGCUUGACUGCGAGACCUACAGGUCAAGCAGGUGCGAAAGCAGGGCUUAGUGAUCCGGCGGUUGCGUGUGGAAGCGCCGUCGCUCAAAGGAUAAAAGGUACUCCGGGGAUAACAGGCUUAUCUCCCCCAAGAGUUCACAUCGACGGGGAGGUUUGGCACCUCGAUGUCGGCCCAUCGCAUCCUGGGGCUGGAGAAGGUCCCAAGGGUUUGGAUGUUCGCCAAUUAAAGCGGUACGCGAGCUGGGUUUAGAACGUCGUGAGACAGUUCGGUCCCUAUCUGCCGUGGGCGCAGGAUAUCUGAGGGGAGCUGCCCCCAGUACGAGAGGACCGGGGUGGACGAACCUCUAGUGUACCAGUUGUCCCGCCAGGGGCAAAGGCUGGGUAGCUAUGUUCGGAAGGGAUAACCGCUGAAAGCAUCUAAGCGGGAAGCCUCCCCCAAGAUGAGAUAUCCCAUCCGAGUGAUCGGAUCUGAAGGCCUCCCGUAGACCACGGGUUUGAUAGACCGCAAGUGUAAGCAUGGUAACAUGCUCAGCUGAGCGGCACUAAUAGGCCGUGCGGCUUGACCAAAU